CACCGGACCAUGCACAAGUCUCCUGGAACGGAGCGUCAUAGAGGGUGAGAAUCCCGUCUUUGGCAUGGGAUCCCCCGGGGCUUUUGUGAUGCGCUCUCGAAGAGUCGAGUUGUUUGGGAAUGCAGCUCAAAAUGGGUGGUGAACUCCAUCUAAAGCUAAACAUUGGCGAGAGACCGAUAGCGAACAAGUACCGUGAGGGAAAGAUGAAAAGCACUUUGGAAAGAGAGUGAAACAGUACGUGAAAUUGUUGAAAGGGAAACGCUUGGAGUCAGUCACGUCGACCGAGACUCAGCCUUGCCCCUUUGGGCUUGGUGUACUUCUCGGCCAACGGGCCAGCAUCGAUUUUGUCCCUCAGAUAAUGGCAAGGGAAAGGUGGCACCCUUAUGGGUGUGUUAUAGUCCCCUGUCGCAUGUGAGGGAUGGGAUUGAGGAACUCAGCACGCGCCUCUCGGCGUUCGGGGCUUUGGCCCACGCUUACGUGCUUAGGAUGUUGGCAUAAUGGCUCCAAACGACCCGUCUUGAAACACGGACCAAGGAGUCUAACAUGCCUGCGAGUGUUCGGGUGGAAAACCCGUGUGCGAAACGAAAGUGAAAGUCGGGACCUCUGUCGUGGAGGGCACCGACGCCCGGACCAGACCUUCUGUGACGGAUCUGCGGUAGAGCAUGCAUGUUGGGACCCGAAAGAUGGUGAACUAUGCCUGAAUA
rnacentral:rRNA from 1 species